UAGGUUUUUAAUUAUCAAUAUUUUUUGUCUAAUUUUAUUAUUAAAAAUAAUUUAUUUGUUAUAGUAUAUUUUAAAGAAUUAAUUUUUAGUUGUUAUAGUUUAUUGUACUGUGAAGGGUUUUAAAUUUUUAAUUAAAAGGAGUUUUAUAAUGUACCUUUUGUAUCAGGGUUUAUUAAAUUUUUAAUAUUUAUUUAUUUUUCCCGAAAUUAAAAGAUCUAUUUUUAUAUGGGGUUUACUGUUUCAAAAUUAUUCCUAAUAUAUUAAUUGAGGAGAUAUUCUAUUCAAUUUUAAAUAUCUGGUUUUCUAAUAAUUGAAUUUAAUUCAGGUUUGAUUUUUAGGCUUGUUAUAAUUUAAUUUAUUUUGCUUGUAUCGUACUAAAGUCAAUAGGGCUAAUCUUGUUGUUUCUGUUAAAACUAUAUUUAUUUUGGGAAAUUAGUAGGCUUAAUAUCAGCCAUCUGUAAAUUUAGUUACAUUUUAUUUCUUUUUAUUUUAAUUUAUUUAUGUUUAGUUUUUUAUUAGGAUGUUUCCUUGAACUUUUUUGUUAAUUAAUAAUGUUAAAAUUAGUAUUUAUGUAAAUUUAAUUAUAGGAACUCGGCAAAUUUUAUUUCCGCCUGUUUAACAAAAACAUGUCUUUUAGGUAUUUAUUUAAGGUCUAACCUGCCCAAUGAUUAUAAUUAAAUGGCCGCGGUAUCCUAACCGUGCAAAGGUAGCAUAAUCAUUUGUCUCUUAAUUGGAGGCUUGUAUGAAUGGUUGGACGAGAAAUUUACUUUCUUUAUUUUAAUUUAAUGAAUUUUAUUUUUAAGUGAAAAAGCUUAAAUUUUUUUAUAGGACGAGAAGACCCUGUAGAGUUUUAUAGGUUUAUUUUUAUAGAAUUUUUAGUUUAUAUUAUUUCUAUAUUUUGUUUCUAUUUUGUUGGGGCGACAGGGAGAUUUUUUUAACUCUCUUUAAUUUUUUCACGGAUGAGUGUUUUAUUGAUCCUAUUUUAUUGAUUAAAAGAUUAAAUUACCUCAGGGAUAACAGCGUAAUUCUUUUGGAGAGUUCUUAUCGAUAAAGGAGUUUGCGACCUCGAUGUUGAAUUAAGAUUAGCUUUGGGGGUAGGUUUUCAAUUGCUAGGUCUGUUCGACCUUUAAAUUCUUACAUGAUUUGAGUUCAAACCGGCGUGAGCCAGGUUGGUUUCUAUCCUUAAUUUUGUUGGGCUUUUUAGUACGAAAGGACCAUAAGCUUGGAAUAUUUUUUAAUUUUUUUGACUAUUAUUA
rnacentral:rRNA from 1 species